rfam:Thelohanellus kitauei scaffold05350, whole genome shotgun sequence.
CAACCUCAACUCAGGCAAGGAAACGCCGUGAACUAAAGCAUUUCAGUAACGGCAGGAAAAGAAAAUAACCAUGAUUCCCACAGUAACGGCGAGUGAAGUGGGAAGAGUCCAACGUUGAAAGCGGCAUCUGUAACAAGGUGUGGCAUUGUAACGUAUAGACUUGUCAUCGAGGCGUCCGACCGGACUAAAGUCGUUAAGAAUGGCGCACCAUAGAGGGUUGUAGUCCCGUACAUGGUUCGGUAUCGGAUGUCGUGAAUGGCAAAGUCAAAGAGUCGGAUUGUUUGGGAAUGCAGUCCAAAGUGGGUGGUAAACUCCAUCUAAGGCUAAAUAUUACUCCGAGACCGAUAGCAAACAAGUACCGUGAGGGAAAGGUGAAAAGAAUUCUGAGAAGAGAGUGAGAAGAACGUGAAACCGUUAGUGGGGAAGCGGACAAUGUAAUCGUAGUUGUUUGGUGUUUGUGUUUUUCAACUUGUUGUUAAAUUCUUAACGCCGAAUAACGCGCCAGGCUCUAUGCUAAUGCAGCUGGCAGUGUAUUGGGUGGUUCGACAAAGAGUGUUUCUUGAGAAAUGCUCUGUCGGCUGACAGUACAAACUGUUGUAGAGUUGGCGCGGCAUGGAUGUGUGUGCUUGUGCGUUGAAGGUUCGUUGGCGUGUAGUCGGUGCGAUCCCACAAAGUGGGACACAUUGGUGUAGCGUUGGCGUAGUUUUGACGUCUCGACGAAUGUCGCACACAAACUCUUGGCGAGAUAUGACAUUGUCCGACCCGUCUUGAAACACGGACCAAGGAGGCUAACAUAUGCGCGAGUCGAGGAGUGGAGAAACUCUAUGGCGUAACGAAAGUGAAAUGUGAGAUUGUGCGACGUCGAGUCGUGCACGCAUCACAGACCAGUCGGAAGUUUGACUACGAUUGAGUUGGAGCGUAUAUGCUAGAACCCGAUAGAUGGUGACCUAUUCCUGAGCAGAGCGAAUUCAUUGGAAACAAUGAUGGAGGCUCGUAGCGGUUCUGACGUGCAAAUCGAUCGUCAAACUUGGGUAUAGGGGCGAAAGACUUAUCGAACCAUCUAGUAGCUGGUUCCCUCCGAAAUAUCCCUCAGGAUCGCCGAAGCUCGCAGCAGUUUCAUCGGGUAGAGCGAAUGAUUAGAGGCAUCGGGGCUAUUUUUAGCUUCAACCUAUUCUCAAACUGCAAACCGGUGACAUGUGGUCAGCGAUUUCUUGAUUGAAUCGUUGAUGCCGUAAGGCUGAAUGCAUGAGUUUCGAGUGGGCCGUUUUUGGUAAGCAGAACUGGCGAUGCGGGAUGAACCGAGAGUCGGGUUAAAGUGCCUAAGUCGCGGCCAACGGAUACCAUAAAAGGAGUUGGUAAAUUAUGACAGUGAGGCUGUGGUCCUAUAAGUAGAUAUCAGCUAAGAAGUGUGCAACAACUUACUUACCGAAUUUACUGGCCCUGAAAAUGGAUGGCGCUUAGCCGCGCACUGAUACCCGACCGUAGAUGCGAGAAAUGUGUCAUCUAUGGGUAGGAGGGUGCUAUGGUUGCGUAAAAGCGUCCACGUGAGUGGGUGUGGAGCAGCCAUAGGUACAGAUCUUGGUUUUAGUAGCAGCGUAUAGAAGUGAGAACCUUCUAGGCCGAAGUGGAGAAGGGUUCCUCGUGAACAGCAGUUGGACGAGGGUUAGUCGGUCCUAAGCAGAAGCUCACACGCUGAGUAAUAGGAGACGUUUUGUAUGUAAUGUGCUCGCACAUAAUGCUUCGUCUCAGUCUGCGAAAGGGAAUCAGGUUAAUAUUCCUGAACCAGGCGUCGGAUAACCAGUAUUGUCUGGCGAUACCGGGAGGCGUGAGUCGCUUGGAAUUGCCGUGGUAAUGUUGGUAAAGCGGUAACGCAAACGAACUCGGAGACGUUGUUGGUAGUUCUGGAAAGAGUUGUCUUUUCUAGUUAACUGGUUGAACGAGCCUGGAAUGGAGUCAUUCAGAGAUAGGCUUGACAGCCGGGAAGAGCGUCGCAUCUGAGUGGCGUCCGGAAUACUACCAAUGAUCCUUGAAAAUCCGAGGGAGUGAAUGAUUGUCGUGCCUGGCCGUACCGAGAUCCGCAUCAGGUCUCCAAGGUGAAAAGCCUCUGGCUCUAGAAUAAUGUGGGUAAGGGAAGUCGGCAAAAUAGAUUCGUAACUUCGGGAUAAGGAUUGGCUCUAAGGAUUGGACUAUUCGGAUUGGCGUCUCGUAAAAGAGACGAUCGUUGACGCUGUUUGUCGUGGCCAGAUGGGUUACCGUGUGGUCGCGUAUUCAGAUGUUGGCGUAUUGUUACUGUUACCAGGUGUCAAUUUACAGUGGCGUCGGCAGGCAAUUUAAUUGUUGUCAGCCGAUGCCCUGUCUCGCGAGUAGUUUAAAUCAAUCAACUUAGAACUGUCACUAACUAGGGGAAUCCGACUGUUUAAUUAAAACAAAGCAUUGCGAUGGCUGGAAACGGUGUUGACGCAAUGUGAAUUCUGCCCAGUGCUCUGAAUGUCAAAGUGUG